rnacentral:rRNA from 1 species
UACGAAGGACCGAGCGUUAUCCGGAUUUAUUGGGUUUAAAGGGUGCGUAGGCGUCCUGGAAAGGUACGGUUUAAAUCUCCUUGCUUAACAAGGAAACUGGCCGUAAAACUAUCAGGAUUGAGUACAUUUGAAGCGGGCGGAAUGUGUCAUGUAGCGGUGAAAUGCUUAGAUAUGACACAGAACACCAAUUGCGAAGGCAGCUCGCUAAACUGUAACUGACGCUGAGGCACGAAAGCGUGGGGAUCAAACAGG